AACGAACGCUGGCGGCAUGCCUAACACAUGCAAGUCGAACGAGACCUUCGGGUCUAUUGGCGCACGGGUGAGUAACGCGUGGGAACCUGCCCUUAGGUUCGGAAUAACUCCCCGGAAGGGGUGCUAAUACCGGAUAAUGUCUUCGGACCAAAGAUUUAUCGCCUUUGGAUGGGCGCGCGUUGGAUUAGCUAGUUGGUAGGGUAAAAGCCUACCAAGGCGACGAUCCAUAGCUGGUCUGAGAGGCUGAUCAGCCACACUGGGACUGAGACACGGCCCAGACUACUACGCGAUGCAGCAGUGGGGAAUAUUGGACAAUGGGCGAAAGCAUGAUCCAGCAAUGCCGCGUGAGUGAUGACGGCCUUAGGGUUGUAAAGAUCUUUUACACGGGAUGAUAAUGACAGUACCGGGAGAAUAAGCUCCGGCUAACUCCGUG
rnacentral:rRNA from 1 species